UUUUCUUUUAGCCGGAUCUCCUAUAAAAUUCGAUUUUGUAAGCAGGAAAUUAGAAAUUGAAUAUGUUGCGAAAUACGUUAGGAAAUUUGUCAAGCUAUCAGGCAAACGAAAAUAUUUGAAUUUAAUUAAAUGAUAUGAUUUCACGGUUUAUCGCACGGACAGCUGAAAAUGCUCUGCAUGGUCGCAUCAAACUAAUCUCUGUAAACAUAAAGCGCUCAUUAUUAUUAUGUGGGCUGGGCUCAUAAUUAACGACUUCGACUGCGACCUCCCUGCCUUUCAACCACUGUGCGUGCGCGGCAGAGCUGGAAAGUCUUCCAUCAAUGACAACAAUCAAUCACAGCGACAGACGGCGCGAGGGAUGUGGAAUGCGGGAUGCGGAGAGGGAAGAGGGAGUUGACACCAAAACCGAGGCAUAGCACGAGGCGAGCUAGAAAUCAAAUUAAAGCAGCUCACACAGUGACAACAGCAAGGCGAAAUAAAAAAAAGUGUAGAAGAAAAAAAGAAGAAGACAAACUAGAAGACAGGCGACAAACUGUAAAGUAAUCCAACAAAGUACCGACGGCAAAUGCCGUUACUGCGCUCUUUUGCGGCAGUCAAAUCGAAUGCUUAACUGCAGCCUGAACUCUCUCGCUUUCAACAUCUCUCUUUCUCUCUCUGGUUUUGCUACUGUCAAUUGAAAACACAAUUUACUACAUUUUAGUUUUAAUUUGUUUUUCUUUUUUUUCUUCGCAUAUUUCGCUACGAGUUACGUCGCAAAAUUUGGGAAUAAAUUUUAUUUUCAUUUUAAUAUGUUUGCACUUUGUAUGUGUAUGUGUGUGUGUUUUCUAGCUUCUUCUUCUUUCAUUCAUUCCUUUAGUUAAGAGAUUUAGCAUAUUUUCUUCAUUUUACUUUGACUUGAGUAAUAGCAUGGGCUGUAUUUGUUGUUCUGUUUUAUAAUAA